rnacentral:misc_RNA from 1 species
CACCCCUCAAGCUCUGCCUGGUAUUGGGCAGCGUCCUUUCGGACGCGCCUCAAAGACCUCGGCGGUGGCGUCUUGCCUCAAGCGUAGUAGAAAACACCUCGCUUUGGAGGACGGGACGACCGCUCGCCGGACGAACCUUUGAAUUUAUUUUCCUAG